CGCAUCCUCCCUCUCUCUCUCUCGCCGGCUCCGCCGCUCCGACUCGGUCGGCGGCGAACCACCGCCGCCGAACCCUCGCGCUCCCCCCCCUCGGAGAUACCGUCCUUGGAUUCUUCUUCAUCCGCCCCAUGACCAACCUAAUGUAUCUUUGAGCAGAAUGCUGAGGAGAUUAGUCCUACCAACCACAAAAUUUUGAAGAUGAGGACCUUUUCCCCCAUAUUAUGCAGUUGUUAUCAGCGUACCACUGUUUCUUCUGUCACAACAACAUUUGUACAUUGACUACCUGAUUUUUGGCGGAACAAAUCGACUUCAACAAGUUGGCUCUUAACGUGGCCAAUGUGACAAACCCAUCCAGAUCAAAGGAAGCAAUGACACCACGGCUCCACGCAUAAUGGCAAUAUGAAAACAAUCAAGAGAGCUCACGAGGUGAAAUAAUGAGAAGCAAUGCAAGCAUCACAUCGAAGAGGUGAUGAAGAACUUACCUCAUCAUCCAGGUAUCAUAUCGUGAUAUCGAGCUCCUCGUCGUUACGGAUCGCCAGCAGCAUGUGCUGCGUUCCCAGUGAGCUCGAGCACUUGGAGGAAGGAAUAGAAGAGAAUGGGCAGGCAAUCCGAAUCAACUCGGGGUACUCAGCGGUGGGGGCAUGAGUGUGCAUGCGACAAGUGCGUGGGCCAAACCUCGGCGGCGAGGUACUCGAGGACGGUGGCGAGGUAGACAGCAUGGAGACGCGCGGCAAGGCAGACAGCAUGGAGGCGCGUGGCGUGGACGAGGCAUGCUGUGCGGAGGAGCAAAUUAAUCAUUAGCUAUCCCGUUCGUAUGUGAUACCAUAGGCUAGUUUUUCUGCUCUUAGAAAGGGUGCUAACAUAAUUGUCAUUGGGCCAACAUGUCAUAGACAUAUGAGAACCAACAUGUCAUAGACAGCAGGUGGCAAAUAUGCUAGGUGCCAUUUUCAAGAGUGGCAAAAAGUUAAA